rnacentral:misc_RNA from 1 species
AAGGAUCAUUGAAUCUUAUCAAUACCAACACCGUGAACCAACCCUGUAUGGCCCUGGGGCUGCUGCCUGUCAAAGGGUGGGAGCCAGCAGCGCUCUGUGUGCGCGCUCCUUGCUGAGCGCGUGGACAGGGCGGCACUGGGAGGCUGCUCUUCUGCAGCUGACCAGGGCGGCCGCUUUCUUUAAAUCAUCAACACCAAAUCUUUUGUCUCUAAAGCUAUACUGUUGCAGCAUUGCUGGAACAUGUAACCAAAGACAACUCUCAACAACGGAUAUCUUGGCUCUC